GGUUGGCUUUAGAUUGCUUUGGGGGGUGAACCGUGAGCUUCUGAAUUUGAGCUAUUUUGUCAUAUUCAAUCUUCUGCUUGAAAAAGGCGAAUCUGAACCUCAUUUUAUUUGCUGCUGCUUAAAUCAAGCCUUUAUACCAAUAUGUCUGCUUUCUUUCUUGUGUGUUUGAGUGGCUGUCUGGCGAGGUUUUGGCGGGUGACCUGUGAGCCUCUGAUGUUGAGCUCUUUUGUGAUAUUCAAUCUUCUGCUUGAAAAAUAUGAAUCUUCUGCCUGAUAAAGUCGAA